GUGCGUCAGUUCCAGGAGGAGGGCGCAUGGGGUGAGCUCAGGGCAGAAGGCUUUUGUUCCAAAGCCCCUCUGACCUGAACGCACACACUCACAGCGUGCCCUGUAUCUGGCUCAGAAGCCGUCGCUCCGAAGAAGGGCAGCCUUCAGACUACCAAGCAGAGUAAUUCCUCAGAAUUGUCCCACGUUGUCCUAGAGAAGUCGUCUUUAUAGGCAUGGAGUAGGGUGUCUGCAGGCCUCCAGUCAAUUCCAACCGAUUUCAACUGCCAAAGUUAAAAGUUGCCAUUGCAGUUACUGUCGGACCAAAGUAACCCCUGAGAACUCUCCACAUUUGUAAAACGGACUGAAAGGUUCAGUGGCGUUUCCCACCUGGAACAGGACUAGUAAUGCUUUGAACGUGAAGAGGUAUUAAUGGCCACUUGCCCUUUAAACCACAGAGGGACAGCUGAGCACAGUGACCUUCUAGCCCAACUUGAGAGAAGCAGGAAAUGGGGUCUGAGGCUGAAGGUUCAGAUGAUAAAAUGCCCCUCGGGAAGAUAACGAAAUGCUUCAUCCGAUGGUGGCCCAAGACACCUCUUAAAAUCUAAGGAAAUCGUUUCCCUUUUAAAAAGCUGCUUUGUGGAAAUAACAAGUGAGAUCUUUUCCUGCUGUUUGUCUCUCUGCCUGAAUCCGGACAUAUUUUCUCUCACAGAUGUCAAUCUUUUGCUAAAAGUCUAUAAAUGAUAUUUCUUUUAAUAGUCCUAAAACAUAAACUACUGUUUCCUCCAACUCUUUCUAGGUUCCCAGAAUGUUUCCAUGGUCUUAUUCUAUUACAAUGUUUGAAACUUUAGUAAUAUUAAGAAAUCCAUUCUCCACAUGAGUCCAUCAGCUUCACUCUGUUCUCACAUAUUUCCCCACAGGUGGCUGGACAGGGAAAAUCUAAAUGACUGGGAUAGCUAAUAGCCUUAAAAAUACUAGGCCCCAAGUAGCAAAGAGACUGUGUCUCUAAACAUCUGGAUUCAUUGCACACUAUAUGCAAAUUGAUGCCAGCAUAUUUACAAAGGUCUCUGUAUACCCAGAAUACCAGGUGACUGUCCCCUGUGAGGAACUGUCGUGGGAAUGAGGCGAUAGGACUGGUUGAAGGAAAUGCUAAGAAGCUCUCUCCUUUGUGGACUGAGGGACCAGCUUCAACACCAGAGGGGUGCAAUCCCAGCAGAAAAGGAACACUGUCUCUAAUGUUGCAACAAAGUAACCAGCAUGAAGUUAGCAAGAAGAAAUCACGGUUGCAGCUGCUGAACACUGAUCCCUACCUGCUUUAAACUUAGAUCCAGAACGGAGCCGGCACAGUGACUUACGUCACUCCCACUGGCUUAAGAGAACAGAGAAUGACAUAUAGACAAGAUGCUACCUCCCAUGGAAAGGCCCCUAUACAUAAAGUCACUUUAUUUCUCUGUCACUUCCCUGAAAAUAAUUUAUGUAAUUAUGCUGUUAAUGAAGUCUAACAACUCAAGGUUUGUUUAUUGACUAUUACUUAAUGCUACCAAAGCAUGUGUGAAUACCCUCCCACAAGAUGGCACCUGUUGAUUCUCCUUCAUAGUAAAGAUAAGAGAUUCCAACCACUCCCUCUCCUAUGCCCACUCCCAGA
rnacentral:lncRNA from 1 species